AGAGCGAACGCUGGCGGCAGGCCUAACACAUGCAAGUCGAGCGCCCGUAGCAAUACGGGAGCGGCAGACGGGAUAGUAACACGUGGGAACGCGCCCUUCGGUUCGGAAUAACUCAGGGAAACUUGAGCUAAUACCGGAUACGCCCUUACGGGGAAAGAUUUAUUGCCGAAGGAACGGCCCGCGUCCGAUUAGCUAGUUGGUGAGGUAAUGGCUCACCAAGGCGACGAUCGGUAGCUGGUCUGAGAGGAUGACCAGCAUCACUGGGACUGAGACACGGCCCAGACUCCUACGGGAGGCAGCAGUGGGGAAUAUUGGACAAUGGGCGCAAGCCUGAUCCAGCCAUGCCGCGUGGAUGAUGAAGGCCCUAGGGUUGUAAAGUCCUUUCGACGGGGAAGAUAAUGACGGUACCCGUAGAAGAGCCCCGGCUAACUUCGUGCCAGCAGCCGC
rnacentral:rRNA from 1 species